rnacentral:rRNA from 1 species
UACGAAGGGGGCUAGCGUUGCUCGGAAUCACUGGGCGUACAGCGCACGUAGGCGGCUUGCUAAGUCAGGGGUGAAAUCCUGGAGCUCAACUCCAGAACUGCCUUUGAUACUGGCGAUCUUGAGUCCGGGAGAGGUGAGUGGAACUGCGAGUGUAGAGGUGAAAUUCGUAGAUAUUCGCAAGAACACCAGUGGCGAAGGCGGCUCACUGGCCCGGUACUGACGCUGAGGUGCGAAAGCGUGGGGAGCAAACAGG